rnacentral:rRNA from 1 species
AACGACUCUUGACAACGGAUAUCUCGGCUCUCGCAUCGAUGAAGAACGUAGCGAAAUGCGAUACUUGGUGUGAAUUGCAGAAUCCCGUGAACCAUCGAGUCUUUGAACGCAAGUUGCGCCCGAAGCCAUUAGGCUGAGGGCACGUCUGCCUGGGUGUCACACA